ensembl:lncRNA
CCCGGGCCGGCCCCGCCCCGCCCCGCCCUGCCUGGUGAGUCACGGCGCGAGGCGGCUGGUCGGGAAGCGCGUCAGUGCAGCGAGGGCGCUAAGUUCUGAGCCCGGCCCUCAGCCCGGCCGCUUGUCGGCUUUGGAGGACGCGCUGUUCCCUGCGGCCGCGGUUGCCUACGCGCGCCGCUGUCGUACCGCUCGUCCCGGCGCCCCGCAGAACCGGUUCCGCGCCUGGCAGGGCGCGCGGGUUCCGCCCGGCCGACAGGAGGCGCCCUUUGGCGCAGCCUGUGGAACUGCGACCGCCCCGCGCCCGGCGGACAAGAUGGCGGCGCCGCUGAGGGCAGCGAAGUGGCUGCGGCUGGCGGGUGGCGGGCCCGGCCUCGCUUUGACUCGUUCUGCAUUUUUUGCAAGAAAGCGUACUUACGACCAACCGAACUGGUUUGGAGUCGGGCUGGCUUUCACCACCAGUGCUGCCCUGUGGGCUUUUCUUUUCAAGCAGCAUAAUGAAGAUGUAAUGGAAUAUGAAAGAAGAAAACAAGAGAGGCACCAUAAGUGUACAGGUUGUUCAUAGUUGACCAAAUGUUUGAUGAGAAAUACCGUCCUGUGAAUUAAGGAGUACGGCGGACCUAUCUGAAAGUAUUUAAACCUUAUCUGUUCAUACAUUUCACAUGCAAGCCUAUGAAAUAAAGUGUGAAAGAAGCUUCUGAAGACUUCUCUUGCCGUUUGUAUUUUAUCCCACCGGCUUUCGUAAAUUGUUUUCUGAUUGCAUUUAGG